rnacentral:lncRNA from 1 species
UCACCAUCCACAUUUGAGGUUUCUGAUUGGCGAUGCAUGUCAUCAUACUGUUUAGGUCGUAGUUGUGGUCUAGGUUAUGAUUAUGUGUUAUCUAAGUAAUUAUUGCUUAUUUCUGGAUGGUGGGGGACGAGGUGAUGAUGUAAAAAAUACCACUUGUCGCUUUGGGAGUGAUCGUCUAAGUGAUGAUCACAUCAUUUGGGAGAUAUGUUCGUGAUUCCAAAAAUGAUGUUACUAGAUGACGAUGAUAAUGAGCCAAGAUUAUUUGACGAUUUUCUUAAUCUAUUCUCUUUGAGAUAGUUAACGUCUUUUAUAAAGCUCUCCUUAAAUUAUAGUUUAUUCUAGGUGAUUGUGAGUUUGAAUACCAAUAAUGACAAAUGGCUGAUUGGUGAUGGAAAUUUGGUUUAGUUGGAUGGCGGGGACGGUGUGGAGAUGGGUGGGUUUGGGGGCAAGAUUGACAUUUUCAUUUGUUUAAUUAUCCUUUUACUUUAAAUGUUUUUUUUUCUUUCAUUACUUAUAUAAGUGGGCGGUGGGGGCGGCACUCGGUUGAAGAAACUAUUUCCUUUUUAUUUUUCAAAUUCUUUUAUUUUUCUGUUGUUGUCAAUCUAUUUUUAAUUGUUUAUAGUGAAAUUUAUUUGCAUUUUUCAAAAUGUUUUGGACAUACAUUGCAAUUUUUCCUUUAGCUUUUCAUUUUUUUUUUGUUCAUCUAAAUGGGAGGACAAUCUUAGGCCCCCGUUUGGUACACAUUGAUAUAAAAAUGAGAAUAAAAAAUAUAGUCGUUAUGGGCUCCACAUAAAAGAUAAUAAUUCAAAUUUUGUGACUUGAUAUGAUAGAUAACGAUCAUAUUUUUCAUUUUAAUGAAUAAAAAAUGGGAAACAAACAAGGGUUUAAAUGUCAAAUUGGAUGGAUUCUGUCAACAUAGACGGGUCAUGCAUAUUUUUCCAAACGUUAGGAUAUGAGGUGCUAUUUUUAAAGGUUAGAGAUAUAUCUAUACGUUUUUGAAAGAUUGGGGGACCAAAUAUGUUAUCUUCCCUUUUAAAUAACAACUGGCUUUAGUAAACUCUACCUUUUAAGUGUCAAAUUACAGUUUUAAUAUGUUUUGGCACUCUCUUCACAAUCUUAGUUGUUGUAUGUGAAAAUAUUAGCAGUUUACAAAGAGAUUAAAAGGGGCUUAAGUGCAUUUUGCAACUUAUCUUGUGACAAUAAAUUACUAGAUGAAGAGGUAAUUAUUAAAGAUAUAUUUAUCAACAAUACACAGGGCUUCAUUUUACAUGGGUAUUACUGACCCCUCUCACGGAUUGGGCCCUAUGCGGGCCUCGAGGCAAUAAAAAAAGAAGAAGGAAAAAAAAAACAAAAACCCUGACCUCACGGGGUCUGUAAGGAGCUGGGCCUGUACGCCCAGCUCGGUUCAUUUAUCAAUCAGCCUAGCGUGUUAUGGUGGCACUUCUUCAUUUAUUUAAAAUUGGGGUAUGUCGGUUAGACUUCAAAAAUAAUGUGAGUUUUUUCCUUUUACAUUCACAAAAAAUUACGAAAUAUAAUCAUGAAAACUUUUGUCAAGUGAUCUAAAAAAGAAUUGUGUCAAAUUAAGAUCAUUUUUCAAUUAUGUGUAAAUUAUGGCGAAUUAUCAUAUGGAGCACAAUAAUAUUUGGUUCAAACUGUUUUUUCUCACUGGUAUUAUAAGACUUUUUUUAGGUACAUUUUACACUCCUGUCUCUAGGAAUGAUAAUUGUAUGGAAAGCUUUCUCCACGUCUAAGCGCUUCGAGUGCUGAUGUCUCUAGGAAUGACAGCCCUUCUUACUUAGCGAAGAGUUGAGCUUUUUGCUCAUUGAUGGCUCUGAGGUGAUUGAGGUCGGAUUUGUUUCCUAUCAUCAUUAAGACUAUGUUAGAGUCGGCAUGGUCCCUCAAUUCACGUAGCCAACGUUGGACACUUAAAGUUUGUCUCUAGGUUAUGUUGUAUACCACAAGUGCCCCAACAGUGCUUCUGUAGUAUGAGCUAAUGAUAGCACAGUAUCUUUCUUGACCAGCGUGUCCCUUAUCUGCACUUUCACCGUCUUGCCUUCCACCUGCACCAAAGUAUUUUCAGCAAUGUGUGGAGAGAUAAAAGAUUUGCUCGAAUGUUACAAUCCAGUGCCCGCACCAGUUUUUAGGCGAAUCACUUUCUUAGUUCGAUUGUUCAUAAAAAGCAGCAGUUAACAUGUCCGAUUAGUCUUAAAUGCAUUCUUUGACAUCAUUUUAGUGAAGGGAAGUCCCAUAAGUUUUCCCUGGUACAAACUUUGCCUUCAAGCAUUUAACAUUAUGGAAAACGCUUUCAAACUUGCACAUUUGGGAAUAAGCUAUUGCAAGUAGAUAUACAUUUGUGUAAAAACGACUGCAACUUAAAUGACCAUGAAAAUGGUCAAAUAUUUCAAUAAUUCGAAAGACAGUUAUAGCAUAUUCUUCGAACUGGGUGACGCAGUGCCAAACAAGGAAUUCAAGCGAAAACCUUAAGAAAAUGAAAUUUGGAAUCCACCAAAUUAUAAAGAAAAGAUAAACUCACGAUUUUUUAUUAAUGAAUGAUAAAAAAAAUAAAUGAAAUAACCCCUUUAUUUAUAAGGGUUUACAAGGAAACGUAGUUUAAAAUAAUUAAAAUUAAUGAAAACAAAGUUAAAACAAACUAAAAUUGAAAAUAAUAAUAAUAAUAAUAAUGAAUAAACUAAAUGAUAAAAAUAGCGUUAAAAAUCAGUUCUCAAUGGCCGAAAUUCAUCGUAUGUCACGACAUAACAGUAAGUAUUGUUCGUCUUGUCGUCCUCUUUUUGGAAUGAUAUUAUGGGCCCAAUCCAAAAUUCGGAUGUUUUCCCUCUACAUGUCCUACAUCACUGGGCAAUAAAAGUUCCGUUUGAAAUGUGGUAUAAAAAUGAUUCCACAACAUUUUACUGUCCUAGAUUCCAGUUUGCACAUCGAUGUCAAAAUAUGAGCAAAAACUAGAUAUUCGACAGGUAGUUUGACAUGACAUUAACCAGAAGAUUAGCCUCUAAUCAGGAAAAUUACAUAAAAUGAAGAAGAAAAAGGAUAGCCCAAAUACAAAAUGCAUCAAUAUCAGAACAGAACCAUUAAUUAAGAUAUGCGCAAAAAAAAAAUUAUAGCGAGCUUAACACAUUUAUGCACAGUGGAUAUUUCAAAUAGAGAUAAUAAAUAACGAAUAUGCUACUUGUGCAUAAUGCGAUGUCUAUAAUGACGUCCACCCUCCUCACAUGGAUGGAGAUCCACUUCGGGAUAAAUUAUAUUAUAUUCAAAGUGGGUCCCCCUCCAUGUGAGAGCGGUGGACACCGUGACAUACAUGUAGCAUAACCUAAUAAAUAAUAGACACAUUCGAUAAUUUUACAUCAUAUAAAUCAAAACCAACCUGCAGAGUCCUUGUUGCAAAUUUGACCCUAAUGGUGGAUUUCAACUCCAAACAGAACUCAUUUCGCGUAAAUCUUGAAAGAAUAUUAGAUUUUCCUACAUCGGAAUCUCCAAUCAAAACAAUCUUGAAUAGGUAAUCAUACUCAUUAUCCACUUUAUAUGCCAUUGUUUCUUCCCUGUAUAUUAUGUACAAAACAAGCCUAUAUAAAUCAAAUCAAGAUUCAUAAUUAAUGAAGAUAGAAUGAUAAUAAUGCAUUUUUUUCUCAUUGAAGUAUAAAAUGCACAGAAAAACUCACCAUUAAAGAUGGAGAUAUUGUUAAUAAUGGCUAAUUUGGAAACAAGGAUUCUUAAUAUUCGAAAACCCAGAAAUGGGAAAAGAAUGAGAAUGCAGAACAGAUAUAAUAGGAAAUGCUCUUUGCACCUCAAAAUUGCGCUGCUAAUCAUGUGGCUAAUGAACUUUUAGAGAGUGGCACGUACUGCUUCUAACAUUGGAUUACAUGUUCAAGCGUGUUUAAUGGCACCGAAAGAGCAGAUCCGUUGCCGUUCUUCAUUUACAAAAUUUACGUUAGCUAAUUCACUUUCGUGCUAUUUGUAAAAAUGAUUAUGGUGUGUUUUGUCAAUGCAUAAAUUACGAAAGAGGUUUAUGUUACUACAUUGCUUGAGCUCCAUUAAAAUCAAAUUUUAGGGAAAAUAUAUUUUGAAAUAGUGAUUUUUUGAAAAAUGUGUGUGUGUGUGUGUGUUUUUUUUUUUAAUGGAGCACAAACAUAGGUGUAAUCAUUCAUACCUAAGAUAGAUUCACAGUCACUGUAAUUGCUCAAAAUUAGCCUAAGAUUUGAAAUUUUGAAUUGAAACUCUUAUUUAAUGAAAGAAUCAUCAUGAAGAGGUCAUUUAGCCAUUUAGAAUAACAUUGACAUGGUAUCAGAGCUUACCUCUGGAAUCCAUAGUUCAAUCUUUAAUUUUCUCUCAAGUAUUGUUCUGUCUUUCGCAUAGCUGGAGCUUUCUAGUUUGAUUUCCUCUUUUUUAAUUCCGAAUCGAUGAAUUUCUGGUCGAAAGCUUUGGUUUGAGAUUUUAGGUCGAUUAGUUUCUGGUCAACAGCUUCGCUUUGAGAUUCUAGGACAACUAAUCUUUGGUCGACAGGUUCAUCAAUCACUUGAAACUGAAUUUCCAGUUCGACGAGUGAAGGUCGCUGGUCAUCUCCAGUUGUCGAGAAGGAAACCAAGUAUGUUGACCAUUGACCAUUACUAAAAAAAAAAAGCAAAAAUGUUUAAAACUUUAAAAACUAAUGAAGUCCCAUUUAUACCCUCAUACUGUGAAGAGCGAAAAGAGUGAAAAUCUAUUGUAGACGUAAAUCGACACCAAGACGUCAACCAACAUGCCAAGAAAUCGACUAUCGAGAUCGAAGAAUUUAUGGUGAGCGUUGAAACCAUUAUUACAAUUAUUUUUUGAAAAAAAAAACAUGCUUAUUCUUGUAUUUGUUGCAAAAUGCAGGUAAAAAAUGUUGGUAUAUGAGCAAGAACACAUAAAAUAUGAAAAUGAAUAGGUUUUGGUGGCAGAGAUUGUCAUUUCAGCUACUUGCAUUACAAGCGGCAAAUGAAAUCACUAUCUGGAUUGGCCCAGAAGCUGGGCCGUUUCAGCGUUUGGGCCAGCCUAGAUGCGGGCCCAGCCUUUUUUAAAUAAUUUUUAAAAUUAAUAUUUAAUUUAAUUGUUUAUUUCAAUAUUUAAAUAAUUAUUUUAAUUGUUUAUGUAUAUUAUUUGUUUAAUAUUUAAUUAUUUAUUUUAGUUAUUUGAUUUAUUUAAAUAUUUCAUGAAUUAAGUUAAUUGUUUAUUUAAAAUUUAAUUAUUUAUUUUAAUUACUUAUUUUAAUUAUUUAUUUAAUAUUUAAUCUAUGUGUUUAUAUUGUUUAUUUAAUAUAUAAUUAUUUAUUUUAAUUAUUUAAUUUAUAUUUUAUUUACUUUUUUAUUUAAAUAUUUCAUUAAUUAUUUUAAUUGUUUAUGUGUAUUAUUUAUUUAAUAUUUAAUUGUUUAUUUUAAUUAUUUAUUUUGAUUGUUUAUUUAAUAUUUAUUUCAUUUGUGUAUUUAAUAUUGAAUUGUUUUUUAAAUCGCUUAUUUAAAUGAUUUAUUUUAAUCGUUAUGUAUUUAUUUCAAUGGUUUAGAGUUUAACUUUCUGGGUCGAGAUUAGCAAACUUGUACAACUCUGUGAUUCCUCACGUUAAUUAUGAAACCAUUGAUAUAGCUUGUUACGAAUGUGCUCAAGCAUUACGAGAGUCGGUAACUCUUGAUCCUUCUUGAAUAAUGUAUUGAGCGAUUCUGCAUUGUUGUUCAAUAUACAAAUAUUCAUCAUCUGGAACCACAAGCGAACAAUUAGAGAAUCGUGUACUCGUUCCAACCUUUGAGCUCUCACCCAACUCAUGUCUCCGAUGGAAUAAAACAAUCAUAUCCUCAUUUGUAAAUUCGUUUUCAUUAUCGUUCUCUUGAACUAUUGAGGAAAUUCUGUGUAGUAGUGAGAUCAUGGUGAGGAACAAUUGUCUCGGGAAUAGUCAUAUCAUCCUUAUGAACUAUCUCCAUCGUGUCCCAAAAAUUAUUCACAUUACGAUUCCCUACAUCGAAAUCUUACUGUUCACUUUCGGGGACAUUCUUUUUAACUAAGGUUACGCAAAUAGGAAUCAUUCGAUUUUAGUUCAAUUCAAAUAAAACCUUUAUCUCAACUUUGGAAGUAACCAUUACAUGUGGAAUUGAAAUGGAUGUAUGCUCGCCGAAUGAAAAUCCUAAUUCCAUGCCGUAUUGAGAACUAUUGUGCUAUUCAUCUCUCUACAAUCAAGAAAAUGAAAAGACACAAGUUGAACCAACGUAAAAUACUUCACGCUAAGACAUUGUCUUUUCAAAAACAGAUAACAUAGCAUGGAAAAUGCACCUGGACCGAACAAGUUGAUACAUUAUAUGGAUAUUCACAUAUGAACUUGUGGGGGCUAUUGUUAAACCUUAUCGAGCUAGGUUCUAAGAAGAACUAUGUGGCAGCCAUAUAACGAGGAAACCCAAACCGCCAUACAACUUCACAUUGCCUAUCUGGUAAUCUCGUCGAACCCCCAUGAAGGGACAAACCCUUAAGAACGAGGUGAGGUGAUGCGAGGCGCUGCAAUCCCAAUUGAAGAGAAUGCCUCUAGGCGUAUAAGGCAUAUUCCCUAUAAGAUUUUCUAUACAAGAUCUCCUAUGAUUGACUGGUGUAACGGCUCACUGUAGUGGCCACUCUACCAAGUCAACUCGUUAAAUCUAAUCCUUACAUGUCAAGUUUAGGUCAUAGGGCACCAACAUCAUUAGAUGCAUAGAGCCUAGGAUUGACAGAAAAAACCCUAUAAAGGCACCUCAUUUGUUACAAUGAGGCCACGUGUUUCUUCAUCUAACGGCUAUUUAAUUAUCCUCUUCUACUAUAGAAGCUCGUUUGAAUAUAAUGCGAUUUUAAAUAUUCAAAGUAAGGUUGCUUUCUUCCAUCUUUACUAUCGUAUUAUUCCCAUGUCCGAAUCCCUUUAUGUGUCUAACAUUUUUAGCACGUUCCACACCUAAAUAUAAUAUACACAUUAACUAAAAUAAUUGUCGAACUAUAAGCAACCACAUCAUUCACCACCGCAGAAAGCCAGUUGUUGCAAAUAAUUUUUCCAAAUGUGAAAUGUGCAGGAGUUUAGCUAGGUGGAUGUGAGUGAAGUUAGGAUCUGUUAGUCAUGUCACUUGUGCAAAAAUCGAGGUGAACAUUUUGGUUCUUAUUAUGCUACUAUUUUUUAUCCCAAAAAUAAGACUAUAGAUACAAGAGAUAUCCUCAAGGUAUAUAAAGUGUUAAAUCAUUUUUUAUUUUCUAUAUGUAUUUAUAUUAAUGGUGUCUUUUUCUACAUUCUAGUAGCCUAAACUCAGUACACUUGGUGUGGACAUAUUUAUUGCUUGAUCAAAGAUAACUACAGUUACUAGAUUGAAAGGAGAUACAAGAGUUCUACCAAACAAUAUUAUAUUUGGGACAUCCAUGUCUUGCUUUCAUGCCUUUGGAGUAGUUGCUUACGUUAAAUCAUUUAAUCCAACCUAGUCUCCUUCCACCAUGAAGUUUGCUUUGAUGGCUAUCAAUAAUUCUCUUAAUUGAUACUAAAAUGUUAAGUUUGUUUUUUAUCUAAUUGUUACAAGGACAUUAUCUUAUUAAUACUGGAUUUAAAGUAGUAUAUCAUCAUAAGAGAGAGACGUAAAACUUGGAAGGGUAACGUACAAUAUAAUCUCACGACAAUAAAAUCAAGUAUUUCCUCACUUUUUGAAGAAGGCUCACUUAAACAUGCUCUAGUUAGCCCCUCCAAUGAAAAGUAAUUGAUCAAGACUAGAAGUUUUGCAAUAACUUUUUUUAGAAUUUGAGCACCAAGUUUGAGAAUUAAGGGGGACAUAAUUUGACUAUUGCUUCUCUUUAUUUUUAUUUUCCAGCUGCUCCAAUGAGUAUGAAUAUUAACAUAAAUGGUGAGUUUGCAUAUGGAUCGGGCCAUAUUGAUCUAGUGAAGCUAAAAAGUCCUUGUCUAGUAUACGAUAUGACACCAAAUGACUAUGUCAAAUUCAUAUGUGGGCAAAGUUACAAUAUUAAGAACUUGACUCUUAUUACUGGUGAUAACAUCAUUCGCACUUAACAUAACAAUGGUAUAGUUUGGGACCUAAACUAUCCAUCAUAUGCAUUAUCUGCCAAGUAUGGUUGUUUUGUCACUCGUGUCUUCUAUCGGACAGUCACAAAUGCUAGUUCGCUAGCAUCCACUCACACCGCAAUCAUAGUGGCGCCAACCAAAGUCAGUAUUAAUUAAUGCUUUGCUAUCCAUUCUUUCGUUUAAAGCUAUUGGGCAGAAACAAACAUUUGUGAUGACAAUUAAUGCCACAUUAACUUCGAGCAAGCUGUCUGGUGUUAUGGUGUGGAAUGAUGGAAUGUUUCAAGUGGAGAGACUCGUUGUUUCCUAUACUACCUAAAAUCUCAUGUGUCAAUUUAUUGUUUAGUAAUGAAAAUUACACAAGUCAAGAAUUUCAUCAAUUAUAUAGAGAAUUAUUGUCAAAAUAUUGUAAUAAUUUGUAAUAUCAUGUCUCUGUACCCCUUCUUCAAUAGAAAUAGCAAUGAUAAUUUUGUCAGUAAUUUCUAUCGAAUUAAGUCAUCGUUAAAACUGUUACGAAUAUUUGUCAUAGAAAUCGAUUGAUAUUUUUGAUGAACGUGUAUAAGUAGGUAAAUUCAUCGGCAACUACUGAUGGGUUAUACUGCCAUUGAAAUAUUACUGAUGGAACUUUUAUCUUCAAUAUGUAUUGUUGAAAAAUUUCUGUCGGUAAACAUUUGUUGUGACAAAUAUUAUAUCUAGAACAUCCAUGCCUUUGGAGCAACUACUUACGUUAACUCAUUUAAUCCAACUCGGUUUCUUUCUACUAUCAAGUUUGCUUUGAUGACUAUUGGUAAUUCUCUUUGUCGAUACUAAACUUUUAAAUAUGUUUUUCGAUCAAAAUGCUACAAGGACAUUAACUUAUUAAUACUGAAUUUAAAGUAAUAUAUCAUUAUAAGAGAGAGAUAUAUAAAAACUUGGAAGGGUGACGUACAAAAUAACCUCAUGAUAAUAAAAUCAAGACUUUCUUUAUUGAAAAAGGCUCACUUAAACAUACUCUAGUUAGCCUCUCCAAUUCAUAGUACUUGAUCAAGACUAGAAUUUCUACAAUAAAUUUCUUUAGAAUUUGAACACCAAGUUUGAAGAUUAAGAGGAAAAUAAUUCUGUUAUUUCUUCUCUUAUUUUUAAUUUUCAGUUGCUCUAAUUAUUACGGAUAUGAAUAGAUGAUGAGUUUGCAUAUGGAUCGGGUCGUAUCGAUCUAGUGAAGGCUAAAAAUCCUUGUUUGUUAUCAAUAUACAACCAAAUGACUACAUUAAAUUCCUAUGUGGGCAAGGUUGUAGCAUUAGGAACCUAACACUUAUUACUGGAGAUAACGUCACUUGCUCUCAACAUAACAAUGGUAUAGUUUGGGACCUAAACUAUACUUCCUUUGCAUUAUCUACCAAGUUUGGUGGUUUCGUCACCUGUGUCUUCUAUCAGACAGUCACAGAUGUCAAUUCGCUAGUAUCCACUCACACAAUGACCUUAGUGGCGCCAACCCAAAUCAAUAUUAAUGUUUUGCCGUCCGUUCUUUUGUAAUGCCACAUUGACUUCGAGCAAGUUGUCUGGUGCUUUGAUGUGGAAUGAUUGAAUGUUUCAAGUGUGGAAUCCCAUUGUUGCCUAUGCUAGUUAAAAUUUCAUGUGUGAUUUUAAUAUUUAUUGAUGAAAAUUGUUCGUCAAGAAUUUCAUUAAUUAGAUAGUGAAUUAUUGUCAAAAUAUUGCAGUGAUUUGUAAUAUCACAUCUUUGGAUGUUGUAUGAUCUAUACAAGAUACCACUUCUUUAAUGGAACUAGCAAUAGCAAUUUCGUCAAUAAUUUUCAUUGAACUAAGUCAUCGCUAAAACUGUUACUAAUAUUUGUUAUAAAAACCCAUCGGUAUUUUCCAUGGAUGUGUAUGUUGGUAAAUUCGUCGGUAACUACCGACGGGUUAUGUUGCCGUUGAAAUAUUACUGAUGUGACUUUUACCUUCGGUAUGUAUCGUUGUAAAAAUUUUGUCGGUAAACAUUUGUGGUGAUAUAACAAAUAUUAUAUCUGGAAGAUCCAUGACAUGUCCUCAUGUCUUUGGAGAAGAUGCUUAUGUUAAAUCAUUUAACCCAACUUGGUCUCUUUCUGCCGUCAAGUUUGCUUUGACGACUACUGAAUUCUCUUUGUUUAUACUAACUAUUAAGUGUGUUUUUUAAUCUAACUAUCACAAGGACAUUAUCUUAUUAAUAUUGAAUUUAAAGUAGUAUAUCAUCAUAAUAGGGAGAUAUGAAAUAUUGAAAGGGUAAUGUACAACAUAACCUCAAGACAAUAAAAUCAAGUAUUUCCUUACUUUUUUUUUGAAAAAAACUCACUUAAACAUGCUCUGAUUAGCUUCUCCAAUGAAAAGUACUUGAUCAAGACUAGAAGUUUUGCAAUAAUUUUUUUUUAGAAUUUGAACACCAAAUUUGAGAAUUAAGGGGGGGCAUAAUUUGACUGUUACUUCUCUUUAUUUUAAUUUUCCAGCUACUCCAAUGAGUAUGAAUAUUAAUACAAAUGAUGAGUUUGCAUAUGGAUUGGGUCAUAUCGAUCUAGCGAAGUUAAAAGUCCUUGUCUGGUAUACGAUAUGGGACCAAAUAAUUACAUCAAAUCCUACGUGGGCAAAGUUACAAUAUUAAGAACCCGACAUUUAUUACUGGAGAUGACAUCAUUUGCACUUAAUGUAACAAUGGUACAGUUUGGGAUCUAAACUAUCCAUCAUUUGCGUUAUCUGCCAAGUCUGGUGGUUUCAUCACUCGUGUCUUCUAUCAUAUAGUCAUAAACGCUGGUUCGCUAGCAUCCACUCACAUCGCAAUCAUAGUGGCGCCAACCAAAGUCAAUAUUAAUGUUUCACCAUCCAUUCUUUCGUUUAAAGCUAUUGGGCAGAAACAAACAUUUGUGAUGAUAAAUAAUGCUACAUUAACUUCGAGCAAGCUAUUUGGUGUUAUGGUGUGGAAUGAUGGAAUGUUUCAAGUGGGGAGACUCAUUGUUUCCCAUGCUGCUUAAAAUCUUAGGUGUCAUUUUUUUUUUAGUAAUAUCGUCAAUUAUAUAGAGAAUUAUUAUCAAAAUAUUGUAAUAAUUUGCAAUAUCAUGUCUGUGCAUCACUUCUUUAACGGAAAUAGCAAUAAUAAUUUCGUCGGUAAUUUUCAUCUAACUAAAUCAUCGCUAAAAUUGUUACUAAUAUUUGUCAUAAAAAUCGAUCGAUAUUUUCGAUGAACGUGUAUAUGUAGGUAAAUUCGUCGGUAACUACCGAUGGGUUAUACUGCCAUGGAAAUAUUACUGACGGGACUUUUACCUUCUAUACGUGUCGUUGAAAAAUUGAUGUCGGUAAAUAUUUGUGGUGACAAAAAUUAUGUCUAGAAUAUCCAUGUCAUGCCCUCAUUCCUCUGGAGCAACUACUUACGUUAAAGUAUUUAACCCAACUUGGUUUCUUUCCGCUACCAAGUCCGCUUUCAUGACUAUUGGUAAUUCUCUUUGUCGAUGCUAAACUUUUAAAUGUGUUUUUUGAUUUAAUUGCUACAUGGACGUUAACUUAUUAAUACUGAAUUUAAAGUAACAUAUCCUUAUAUAUAUAAACUUGGAAAUGUAACGUACAAAAUAACCUCAUGAUAAUAAAAUCAAGUCUUUCUUUCUUGAAAAAUGCUCACUUAAACACGCUCUAGUUAGCCUCUCCAAUUCAAAGUACUUGAUUAAUACUAAAAUUUCUACAAUAAAUUUCUUUAGAAUUUGAACACUAAGUUUGAAGAUUAAGAGGUAAAUAAUUCGGUUAUUUCUUCUCUUUAUUUUUAUUUUUCAGCUACUAUAAUUAGUACGGAUAUGAACACGAAUGAUGAGUCUGCAUAUGGAUCGGGUUUUAUCGAUCUAGUGAAGGCUAAUAGUCCUUGUUUGUUAUCAAUAUACAACCAAAUGACUACGUUAAAUUCCUAUGUAGGCAAGGUUAUAGCAUUAAGAACCUAACACUUAUUACUGGAGAUAACAUGCACUCAACAUAACAGUGGUAUAGUUUGGGACCUAAACUAUCCUUCCUUUGCAUUAUCUGCCAAGUUCGGUGAUUUCUUCACUUGUAUCUUCUAUGGGACAAUCACAAAUGUCGAUUCGCUAGUAUCCACUCACUGUGACCUCAGUGGUGCCAACCAAAAUCAGUAUUAAUGUUUCAUCAUCCGUUCUUUCGUAAUGCCACAUUGACUUUGAGUAGGUUGUUCGGCACUUUGAUGUGGAAUGAUGGAAUGUUUCAAGUGUGGAGUCCCAUUGUUCACUAUGCUACCUAAAAUUUCAUGUGUGAUUUUAAUAUUUUUUGAUGAAAAUUGCACGUCAAGAAUUUCAUCAAUUAGACUUUGAAUUAUUGUCAAAAUAUUGCAGUGAUUUGUAAUAUCACAGCUUUGGAUGUUGUAUAAUCUAUCCGAGAUAUCAUUUCUUUAGCAGAACUAGCAAUAGCAAUUUCGUCAGUAAUUUUCAUUAAACUAUGUCAUCGCUAAAAUUAUUACUAAUAAUUGUCAUAAAAACCCGUCGGUAUUUUCCAUAGAUGUGUAUAUGUUGGUAAAUUCAUCGGUAAUUACCGACAGAUUAUGUUUCCGUUGAAUUAUUACUGACGAGACUUUUACCUUAGGUAUGCGUCAUCGUAAAAAUUUUGUCGGUAAACAUUUGAGUUGAUAUAACAAAUAUUAUAUAUCUGGAAGAUCCGUGGCACGCCCUCUUGUCUUUGGAGAAGAUGCUUACAUUAAAUUAUUUAACCCAACUUGGUCUCUUUCCGCUAUCAAGUAUGCUUUGAUGACUAUUGAAUUCUCUUUGUUUAUACUAAAUUUUAAGUGUGUUUUUUAAUUUAACUGCCACAAGGACAUUAGCUUGUUAAUAUUGAAUUUAAAGUAGUACAUCAUCAUAAUAGGGAAAUAUGAAAAAUUGAAAGGGUAAUGUACAACAUAGCCUCACGACAAUAAAAUCAAGGUUUCCUUAAUUUUUGAAAAUGGCUCACUUAAAUGUGCUAUGGUUAACUUCUCCAAUGAAAAGUACUUGAUCAAGACUAAUUUUGCAAUAAAUUUCUUUAGAAUUUUGACACCAAGUUUGAGAAUUAUUAGGGGCAUAAUUCAACUAUUGCUUCUCUUUAUUUUUAUUUUCCAGCUACUCCAAUGAGUAUGAAUAUUAAUACAAACGGUGAGUUUCCAUAUGGAUCGGCUCAUAUCAAUCCAGUGAAGGCUAAAAGUCUAAGUUUGGUAUACGAUAUGGGACCAAGUAACUAUGUCGAAUUCCUAUGUGGACAAGGUUACAACAUUAAGAACUUGACACUUAUCAUUGAAGAUAACGUCUUUUCUACUUGGACCUAAACUAUUCAUCCUUUGCAUUAUGUGCCAAGUCUAGUGGUUCCGUCACCUAUGUCUUCUAUCAGACAAUUACAAAUGUCGGUUCGCUAGUAUCCACUCACACUGCAAUAAUAGUAGCGCCAACCAAAGUUAGUAUUAAUGAUUUUCCAUCCGUUCUUUCACUUAAAUCUAUUGAACAAACACAAACAUUUGUGAUGACAAUUAAUGUCACAUUGACUUCGAGCAAGCUGUCUGGUGUUAUGGUGUGGAAUGAUGGAAUGUUUCAAGUGGGGAGACUCGUUGUUUCCUAUGCUGCCUAAAAUCUUAGGUAUCAUUUUUUGUUUAGUAAUGAAAAUUACACAAGUCAAGAAUUUCAUCAAUUAUGUAGAGAAUUAUUGUCAAAAUAUUGUAAUAAUUUGUAAUAUCAUGUCUGUGUAUCCCUUCUUUAACGGAAAUAGCAAUGAUAAUUUCGCGGUAAUUUCCAUCGAACUAAGUCAUCACUAAAAUUGUUACUAAUAUUUGUCAUAGAAAUCGAUCGAUAUUUUUGAUGAAUGUGUAUAUGUACGUAAAUUCGUCGGUAACUACCGAUGGGUUAUACUGCCAUUGAAAUAUUACUGACGGGACUUUUACCUUCAAUAUGUAUCGUUGAAAAAUUUCUAUCGGUAAAUAUUUGUGGUGAUAAAAAUUAUGUCUGGAAUAUCCAUGUCAUGCCCUUAUUCAUCUGGAGCAACUACUUACGUUAAAUUAUUUAACCCAACAUGGUUUCUUUCCACUACCAAGUCCGCUUUGAUGACUAUUGGUAAUUCUGUUUGUCGGUGCUAAACUUUUAAAUGUGUUUUUUCAUUUAAUUGCAAUUUGGACGUUAACUUAUUAAUACUGAAUUUAAAGUAGUAUAUCAUUAUAAGAGAGAAAGAUAUAUAAACACUUGAAAGGGUAAUAUACAAAAUAACCUCAAGACAAUAAAACAAGUCUUACCUUCUUAAGAAAGGCUCACUUAAACAUGCUCUAGUUAGCCUCUCAAAUUCAAAGUACUUGAUCAAAACUAGAAUUUUUGCAAUAAAUUUCUUUAGAAUUUGAACCAAAUUUGAAGAUUAAGAGGGACAUAAUUCAACCAUUUCUUCUCUUUGUUUUUAUUUUUUUAGCUUCCCUAAUGAGUAUAAAUACGAGCAUGAAUGGUGAAUUUGCAUAUGGAUCGGGUCGUAUUGAUCUAUUGAAGGCUAAAUGUCCUGGUUUGGUAUUAAUAUACUACCAAAUGAUUAUGUUAAAUUCGUAUGUGAGGAAGGUUAUAGCAUUAAGAACCUAACACUUAUUAUUGGAGAUAACAUCAUUUGCACUCAACAUAACAAUGAUAUAGUUUGGGACCUAAACUAUCCUUCAUUUUCAUUAAUUGCCAAGUUCGGUGGUUUCGUCACCUAUGUCUUCUAUCGGAUAGUCACAAAUGUUGAUUCGCUACUGUUCACUCUCAUUGCGACCUCAGUGGCGCCAACCAAAAUUAAUAUUAAUGUUUUGCCGUCCAUUCUUUCGUAAUGCCACAUUGACUUCGAGAAGGUUGUCGGCGUUUUGAUGUGGAAUGAUGGAAUGUUUCAAGUAAGGAAUCCCACUGUUGUCUAUGCUACCUAAAAUUUCUUGUGUGAUUUUAACGUUUAUUGAUGAAAAUUGCACGUCAAGAAUUUCAUCGAUUAUAUGGUGAAUUAUUGUCAAAAUAUCGUAGUGAUUUGUAUGUCUUUGAAUGAUGCAUAAUCUAUACAAGAUAUCUUUAACUGAACUAGCAAUGGCAAUUUUGUCUGUAAUUUUCAUUGAACUAAGUCAUCACUAAAAUUGUUACUAAUAUUUGUUAUAAAAAAAACCCAUCGGUAUUUUCAAUGGACAUUUAUAUGUAGGUAAAUUUGUUAGUGACUAUCGACGAGUUAUGUUGCCGUUGAAAUAUUACUGACGGGACUUUUAUGUUCGGUAUGUAUCAUCGUAAAAAUUUCGUCAGUAAACAUUUGAGGUGAUAUGACAAAUAUUAUAUCUGGAAUAUCCGUGUCAUGCCCUUACAUCUAUGGAGUGGAUACUUACGUUAAAUCAUUUAAGUCAACUUGGUCUCCUUCCACCAUCAAGUCUGCUUUGAUGGCUAGUUAUAAUUCUUUCUUUCUUUCUUUUUUUAAUACUAAAUUUUAAGUUUGUUUAUUUUUUUUUAAUCCAAUUGUCAUAAGGCCAUAAUCUUAUUAAUAUUGAAUUUAAAGUAGUCUAUCAUCUUAAUAGAGAGAGAUGAAAAAUUGGAAGGGUAAUGUACAACAUAAUCUCACGACAAUAAAAUCAAGUAUUUCCUUACUUUUUGAAAAAGGCUCACUUAGAUAUGCUUUAGUUAGCCUCUCCAAUGAAAAGUACUUGAUCAAGACUAAAAUUUCUACAGCAAAUUUCUUUAAAAUUUGAACACCAAAUUUUAGAAUUAAGAGUGACAUAAUUCGACCAUUUCUUCUCUUUAUUUUUAUUUUCAAGCUGCUCUAAUGAAUAUGAAUAUGGACACGAAUGGCGAAUUUGCAUAUGGAUCGGGUCGUAUCGAUCUAAUGAAAGGUAAAAGUCCUGAUUUGAUGUCAAUAUACGACCAACUGACGUCGUACAUCACGCCGUCCAUUUGUCCCAAGUAACAUAUCAAUUUUAAAUAGGGAUAAUAGCAUAUUUGGUCCUUGAUCUUUCAAAAAAUUUAUGUAUCCCUAACCUUUAAAAAUAGCAUCAGAAAUCCCCAAAUUUGAAAAAAUAGGCAUGUUUCUUUCACAUUGAUAGAACCCUCCAUAUAAGUGAACGAAAAAUGAAAAGGGAGCCAUAUGAAAAUGUAAAGGAGAAAUUGAGCCAUAUGAAAAUGUAAAGGAGAAAUUGCGGUUAAGGCCCUAAACAUUUUCAAAAAAGCAAAUCAUCCCACUUUUGAAAACUUUUAAGUAGGGGAAAAUCAUCUAUCUACAUAUUCCCGCUCAAGUAAUGGGUGAUUAUAUUCACACCAUAUGUGUGUGUUUAUAAGUAGAUUUUUUUUAUUUUUUAUUUAUAAAUAUACCACAUUUUAAUUAUAUUAAAGAUCAUGAACAUUUAUUAAUUAUCAAACUUAUGUCUUUAAUUUUUUUUCUUUAUCAUAUUUUUAUUUUUAACAUUUCAUUAAUCAGAAAAUCUUAUUCUUAAUCAUGAUUUUCGUCAAAAAAAAUAUUGUUAACAUGCUUUAAAAUGAGAUUCAAAUAUUUAAUCCAUUUUUACAGUAUUGUCUAUUUUGCUUAUUAAAAAUGCAAUGAACAAAUGAGUUUUUACAAUUAUGUUAAUUUGAGAAUAAGUAUUCUUUAUCAUCUCCAACAUCCAUCCCACCACUCUAAAACUACCCCGAAAUCCACAACCGAAAUCACCAUCACCGCAUGUUGCACUAAAAACUAGCAUUGCCUCGUGUCACAUCCGAAACAUUGCUCGUUGCCAUCAAAAAAAGAAAAAGAAAAAAAGGAAACAAAAAACAAUCAAUUGCUACCAUUCCAUAAAACAUCACACCCUGCAUAAUCACAUAAAAAAUCAAUUGCCACUAUUCCAUAAAACAAUUAUGCCCAACCUAUAAUCACAUUGAGAUUUAGCCCCAGUUUGGUACCAAUUAAAAUUUUAAUUUUAAUUUAAGUCAAAGUCAACAUUUCAUUUCAACCAUAUAUUUUAUGGGUUCCACAACUUUUCAACCAUACAUUUCAUCAACUUCUAUCGAAAUCUAUACAAAAUCUAAUUUUAAUCUUCACCAUCUCCUUAGUUUUGGAUCUUCAAGAAUAAAAUAUUUCAGCAAUUUCUUCUCCGAACGGUUCAAAUACGACCUCUCAACAAAAGGAAGAAUCAGUUUGUUAGAUGUUUUACUGUUUAAUUUUUCGAAAGCAGACAACAUUUCGAAGUAAAACUUUAAGGAUAUAACAUAAACUGUCUAGAAGCUUUUGUUUUAAAGUUUGAAUUGAGAAUAAAAAAGUUAUUUUGAGAGAACUUCUUAUCCGUAUAUUUAUUGCCACAAACGAGGGCUGAAAAGUGUGGUCGAGGAUAGAUGGAUUUUACAGUAAUGGUAAACUUGGGAGAGGAAAUUGACAUUAGAUUUAAAGUCUUCAAAUCGCGAGUUGUAGUGGUGUUCAUGGCGGGAGGUAAUGGCUUCUUGGAGAGGUAUAAAGAGGUGACUAUUGACAACUAAAAAUGAGAUGACAAAUUUUGAUCAACUAAAUAUGAUAUCUGUAGAGUAAUUGUUGGAUUUUAUUAAAAUAAAAAUGCUAAUUUUGAUUGAUUGAAUUUGGAAGUAGAAAAGAGAGACUCAAUGAGCUCGGCCUUUUGGAGGAUACCAUUUGUCCCAUUUAAAGGCAUUUACAACGAAUAAUUUGGUUGACCUGAAAGUGCGUGUCACCAUCCACAUUUGAGGUUGAAUUACUCCUGGUGUACAAUUAGGGGUUCAUAGACCCCUUAUUGACUAUUCACACCAGGUGGGUCCCGCAUGUAUAAAAAUUACCCAAAAAUACCCAUCCCUCCCUUGUUGUGAGUAGUCGGUACACUAAGAAAUAUUCUUUGAGGUUUAUUGGUUAUAGAGAUUGGCAAUGUAUGUCAUCAUACUAUCUAGGUCGUAAUUUUGGUUUAGGUUAUGAUUACGUGUCAUCUAGGUAAUUAUUGCUUAUUUCUAAUUGGUGGGACAUGAAGUGAUGACGUCCAAAAUACCACUUGUUGCUUUGAAGUGUGAUCAUCUAAGUGAUCACUACAUCAUUUGUGAGAUGUGUUCAUGAUUCCAAUGAUGAUGUUAAUUGAUGACAACGAUAAUGGGCCGAGAUUAUAUGACGAUUUUCAUAGUCUAUUCUCUUUGAGAUAGUUAACAUCUUUUAUAAGCUCUCCUUCUUAAAUUAUAGUAGAUUCUAGGUGAUUGUGAGUUCGAAUACCAAUAAUGACCAAUGGUUGAUUGGUGAUGGGAAUUUGGUUUAGUUGGAUGGCGGGGACGGUGUGGAGAUGGGUGGGUUUGGGGCAAGAUUGACAUUUUCAUUUGUUUAAUUAUUCUUUUACUUUAAAUGAUUUUUCAUUUUUUAGUGGGUGGUGGUGGCACUAGGUUGAAGAAACUAUUUCUUUUUUAUUUUUUAAAUUCUUUUAUUUUUCUUUUGUUGUAAAUCUACUUUUAAUUGUUUAUAGUGAAAUUUAUUUGGAUUUUUGAAAAUGUUUUGGACAUACAUUGCAAUUUUUCCUUUAGAUUUUCAUUUUGAAUGUUAUUAUUAUUAUUAUUAUUAUUAUUAUUAUUAUUAUUAUUAUUAUUAUUAUUAUUAUUAUUAUUAUUAUUAUUAUUAUUAUUAUUUUUUGGGUUCAUCUAAAUGGGAGGACAAUUUUGUCAGUUAAAUUAUCUUAAAAUGUCAAAUUGUAUGGAUUCUAUCAACAGGGACGAGUCAUGCAUAAUUUUUCAAACGUCGGCAUGUGAGGUGCUAUUUUUAAAGGUUAGAGAUAUAUCUACAAGUUUUUGAAAGUUUGGGGGACCAAAUAUGUUAUCAUCCCUUUUAAAUAGCAACCGGCUUUCGUAAACUCUACUUGUAAGUGUCAAAUUACAGUUUUAAUAUGUUUUGGCACUACCUCUUCACAAUCUUAGUUAACCAAUUAUUCGUAGGACUAUUGUCCAAUGAUCUGCUGUUAUGUUGUACGUGAAAAUAUUAGUAGUUUACAAGGAGAGUAAAAGGGGCUAAAGUGCAUUUUGCAGCUUAUCUCGAGACAAUAAACUACUAGAUGAAAGGAUAAUUGUUAAAGAUAUAUUUAUCAAUAGGCCUAGCGUGUUAUGGUGGCACUUCUUCAUUUAUUUAAAAUUGGAGUACGUUGAUUUGACUUCAAAAAUAAUGUGAGUUUUUUCCUUUUACAUUCACAUAAAAUUACAAAACAUAAUCAUGAAAACUUUCGUCAAAUGCUCUAAAAAAGAAUUGUGUCAAUUUAAAGAUCUUUUUCAAUUAUGUAUAAAUUAUGCCGAAUUAUCAUAUGGAGCACAAAAAUACUUGGUCCAAAUUGUUUUUUCUCAUUGGUACAAUAAGACUUUUUUGUAGGCACGUGUUACACUCUUUGUCUUUACAUCAACUUUGAUACGUAGUUGGCGGAGACCUUUUACUUCCCCAUGGCAAAAACGUGGAGCAGCCGUGAUUGAUUGUUGUUCUAUUUUGAAACUCGUCACAUUUUUAAGAGUAAUAUUAUUUAUUAUAUAUUGUGACAUUGAUUAAUAAAAUUUUAUCAUUGUAUUUUACUGAGUACAAAGACAUAUUUAACCAUUGCAUUUUUAAAUAAGCAAAACAAAUAAUGCUGUAAAAAUGAGAUUAAAUAUUUUACCCCCAUUUUUAAAACAUGUUGAGGAGGCUUGGCAACUGCCUUUCCAUUUGCUUGGAGGAGGACCACCCUUCAUCACUGAAACUCUCUGAUUUAGGCCAAAUCCCAGUGUCUAACAUUCCACAAUAAUGUCGCUCUCAACUUUUGUUCUUUCAAUGUCUUCAGUGAAUCCCAUGAAGUCUCAUGAUCUCGUUGUGUGGAGCUGCUUUUUGGUGUUAGGGAAUAUAGACACUACUGUGUCCAUGCCUAAGUACGUAUUAAAUAUAUGUAUCGCAAAAGCUUCAAUGACUUUGUUGCCAAGAUGACUGAGGAAGAGAAAGAGACAAUUGCUAGUAUGUCAAAUAUGAAUCAAUUAAAAUGUAAAUUGCAGCACACGUGAGUCCAAUUUCCCUUGCUUCUAAUCUAAUGUACAUAUAUUUAAUACGUACUUAGGCAUGGACACAGUAGUGUCUGUAUUCCCUAACACCAAAAAGCAGCUCCACACAACAAGAUCAUGGGACUUCAUGGGAUUCCUUGAAGACGUUGAAAGAACAAAAAUUGAGAGCGACGUUAUUUUUGGAAUGUUAGACACCAGAAUUUGGCCUGAAUCGGAGAGUUUCAGUGAUGAAGGGUUUGGUCCUCCUCCAAGCAAAUGGAAAGGCAGUUGCCAAGCCUUCUCAAAUUUCACUUGCAACAAGUAAGCUGCCAUGUAUACAAUGAAUACCUGCAUCAGCAUGUCGAAAUUUACAAGAAGAAAAGAAAUCUGAACAUGGAUUAAAACACUCAGAUGUUUCAUUAUAAACACAAAUUUCAUACCUUUUCAUUGGCAUCGGAUGCUGCAUUGCAGCUAACCAGAAGAGUGCUUAUCAGAGUUAUGAAGAGAAGAGAAGAGAAGUUUGGGAAACCAUGGGAAGGAUUACUGAAAGUUUGAUUACUCUCACAUGUAAUUGAAGAAUUUAUAGAGGGGAAUUCUGCAGUGGACACAUCAAAGGAAACUUGAUUCCAAAUUCUUCUCAAAUGUUUUGUUUGCCAAAAUAUUGCAUAUUAAAAUAAUUUUAUUAAUUACAGUAAGAAUAGAGAAAUUAAUAUAAAAU